UGUAAAUAUGAUGAAUGCAUCCACGGCUUCAUUAGCUCUGCCUUCCCACAGCACAGCUUUAUAGUCUGAGGUGGCUCUGUCAGGUCUAUCAACAGCACAGAGAGUUUUUCCAUUUUUGUAUGUGGCUGGUAGAAACUGACCAAAAUGCUAGAGCUGGUGUUAGUGAUCUUUUCCUGGACUUGUGUGAUGGAAGGAUUGGCAAACAGUGUUUGAGGAUUCAUGUGUGUGUGCAGAGUGGGGUUCACAGUCUUUAAGGACAAAUGGUCUGCAGUGGACUUUUUUCUUUUUUCUUUUUUUUUUUUUUUUAAAUUUCACAGCAGACUGACUUCACUUUUCUUCUUCUUCUUCUUUGUCUGCGGUUGAGUUUUAAAAUCUGACGUCCACGAUGCCGAUGAAGCGCAGCAGUGAGAGUUCAGGCAGAGAUGGAGUGUUUCUCAUUCACUCUUUAACCAAGACUUUGUGCAGCUCACCAGAGGAAACACACAGAGAUUUCAAUGGGCAGACACAUUUUCCUCAGGAAGAUGAUGCUGGGAUUAAAUCAGAAGCCGAGGACAGUAAUGAGACUCCAUCCUCUGAAGAAGACCAGGACCUGGUGGACUUUAACGCAGACCUGACCAUCAAACAGAGCAUCUCCUCGUCCAGGAAGACCAUCAGUCAGAUCAUCAAAGACAAGAAGAAACAGACGCAGCUCACUCUGCAGUGGCUGGAGGAGAAUUACAUAGUGUGUGAAGGAGUGUGUCUGCCUCGAUGUAUCCUCUAUGCCCACUAUCUGGACUUCUGCAGGAAAGAGAAACUAGAGCCGGCCUGUGCUGCAACAUUUGGAAAGACGAUCCGACAGAAGUUUCCUCUUCUGACGACGAGAAGACUGGGCACCAGAGGACACUCCAAAUAUCAUUACUAUGGAAUUGGCAUCAAAGAAAGCAGCGCCUACUAUCACUCUGUGUAUUCUGGGAAAGGUUUGACCAGAUUUUCAGGGAGUAAGCUCAAGAAUGAGGGAGGUUUCACCAGGAAAUACUCUCUGAGCUCCAAAACUGGAACUUUGCUCCCGGACUUCCCCAGUGCUCAGCACCUUCUGCUGCAGGGAAACAUCUCCAGGGAAAAGGUGGACACUCUGAUCAUGAUGUAUAAAACACACUGCCAGUGCAUCCUGGACAACGCCAUUAACGUCAACUUUGAGGAGAUCCAGAAUUUUCUGCUCCACUUCUGGCAGGGAAUGCCCGACCACCUGCUGCCGCUGCUGGAAAACCCUGUUAUAGUCGACAUCUUCUGCGUCUGCGACUCCAUUCUCUAUAAGGUUUUAACAGAUGUUCUGAUUCCUGCUACGAUGCAGGAGAUGCCUGAAAGUCUGUUGGCAGAUAUCCGCAACUUUGCCAAACACUGGGAGCACUGGCUGGCCUCCUCCCUGGAAAACCUCCCAGAAUGCCUUGCAGCCAAGAAACUGCCUAUUGCGCGCCGCUUUGUCUCCUCCCUGAAGAGACAGACCUCGUUCCUGCACCUGGCACAGAUAGCCCGUCCGGCGCUGUUUGACCAGGCCGUGGUGACCAGCAUGGUGCUGGAUAUCGAUAAUGUGGAUCUCAGCAGCAUCAGCUCACAGCCUCUGCUCAGCAUAAACGCUACAGGAGACCAAGACCCAGACAUCUACUCUGAGUAUGACUCCAUCACCGUCUUUCAGGAGCUGAAGGAGCUGCUGAGGAAGAACGCCACAGUGGAGUCCUUCAUCGAGUGGUUGGACUCUGUCGUGGAGCAUAAAGUCAUCAAGCCCGGGAAGCAGAGCGGCCGAUCGGUGAAGAAGCGAGCUCAGGAUUUCCUGCUCAGGUGGAGUUUCUUUGGUGCCAGAGUGAUGCACAACCUCACACUCAACAACGCCUCCAGCUUUGGUUCCUUCCAUCUGAUCAGGAUGCUGUUAGACGAGUACAUCCUGUUGGCUCUGGAGACUCAGUUUAACAACGACAAGGAGCAGGACUUGCAGAACCUGCUGGACAAAUACAUGAAAAAUGCAGAUGCCAGUAAACUAGCGCUCAUGGCUUCACCUAGUUCCUGCUUUCUUGCCAAUCGCAACAAGGCCAACUCCGCCACUGACCAAUCGGUGAAGAACGAGUCUCUGGUAGAACACGCCUAUAUGUCUCUGUCCACCAAUCAGCAGCAAAGUCUGGAGACAAGCACGGUCAUCUACCAGGGGACAGAUACUGCUGGCUUCACAGUUUCAGGUGGUCAGAUGGACUUCUCUCAGAUCAGCGGGCCCCUCAUGACGCCCCCUAUCUCUCCAGCAGCGUUAGUGCACCGAGGCUCCGUCAUCAACCAGGGGCCCAUGGCGGGCAGACUCCUGCCGUCUUCCUGUUCUUCCUCCACCUGCUCCACCUCCUCUUCCUCAUGCCUCUCCUCUCUCAGUGCAAUGACCCAGCCCAGCCCCUGCUCUUCCUACCCGGAGACCCUGUAUCACUGCUUACCUCAGACCAGCUCUAGUUACUUCCCUCCAGCCAGCAGCUCCUCAACCUCGAACUACCAGCCUGCACUCAGACCUCAGACCCAAAAUCAGUGUCUGGCCUCAGUUCAGUCUCAGGCUUCAUCUCUGGCCUACCAGCUCUCUCGGUACCCCUCGUUUAAUGACCAGCAGCUGACUAAAGACUUGUUCUACAAUCAUCAUCAUCAUCAUCCUCCUUCAUCAGUCCAUCACUCAUCCAGCAGCACGAACUGCUCCCUGACACCUUAUGCCUCUGCAGUCCGGCCCACAUCCACCUACAGUUCAGGUUCAGAUCCGGUUCAGACUGAACAGGGGCUGGACGUUCAGACUGCCGCUCAGAUUCUGGACUCAGCUGAAGGGUUCGGCUUUGUGGGAGCAGGACUGAACCCCUCAAGUGGUGGGUGUCAGGGACAGACGUUUUCUGCCACAGGACACAGCGGUUACUAUGGCAACAGCAGUUACCUGGACAGCCAGCGGAUGACAUCACUGGUCGACCAGCACGUGUCCGUCAUCAGCAGCGUCAGCAGUCUGCGUCCCUUCCCUUCAACGUACUCUGAAGUUCACGAUCCGCUCAACAUCCUGGACGAGCCAGGAAGGAAAACUACAGGAACCUACUUCACAGAGGCUGAACCUGGAGCAGAUCAUUCCCUUCCCCCGUCGGGAUCUGCUCCCUGCAUGUUUGGAGUUCCCUCUCCGUUCCCCCCGCAGGAAACACUGUUGUCUCAGCAGCGCGUGACGCCAUCCUCAGAGGUGCAGGACCUGGUGUCCUCGCUGCCUCCCAUCAACACCGUCUUCAUGGGCGCAGGAGGAGUGCAAUGACUCUGAGAACACAAACAUCCGCUCGAGUCGAAUCAGAGCAACUUUAUAACUCUUUAUAACAGUGGAGUGAGGGAGGUGAACGCCGUGUGACGAGGACACUCAAACCCAGAACAUCCGAACUGUGAGAUUCUUGUAAAUAAAGCCUCACAGGUGAUACGCCAUGCUUUUCACUGACUGCACAACAAGAGGAAAACAAUCUAACGGCGCUGCGGUCCACACCUGCUCAACUUGCAUUAAGAGCUUGUUUAUAUACAGGCCUUUAGAGCCAAGCAAUGCUGCAGGGGAUGAAAACUAUUCUUUUUGCAAUUUCAUUUUGAGGGUUUGUUUCUGAACUUUUUGUCCUGAUGAGUCUCGGGCUGGUUCUCAGGGUACACUUCACUACUGACUCGUGGUUCAAAGUGCAAAGGUGUAGGCACCUUAUUACAUAAGAGUACUGAACAUUUACUGGUUCCACCUUCUCCAGUGUGAGGAUUUACUGGUUUCCUCUGUUUUACUUCAUUGGAAAUUGAAUGUCUUUGAACUUUGGAGUUUUGGUUGGACAAAACAAGUCAUUUAAAGACUUGUAACAAUUUUAUUCUUAUAUAAGCUAAACAAUUAACAUUUUAAUUGAUAUUGGAAAAAUUACAAUUAAUGGUAGCCUUAAUGUCAAUGCACACAUUUUAUGCCAAAUCCAGUGUUUUGUGGUGCUUUGAGCUAAAUGCUAACAUUAGCCCAAUGGCAAUGCUAUAACAUGCUGCUGUUUAGCAGGUAUAAAGUUUACCAUCUUCAAAAUUUUGCGUGUUGACAUGUUAUCGUUUGCUAAUUAGCACUACACAACAAAGUGCAGGCGGGGCUGAUGGGAAUGUCAGUUUUUCAGAUGUUUGGUCAUAAACUAAAGUAUCUGACAAAUGAAAAGUCAGGGGAUUAUCAAAGCAGUUCGUGUUCAUCCUCUGGGGGAUAUGAAUAUGAAUGUCUGCACCAAAUCUCAUGGAAAUCCACCCAAUGCUUAAAACGAUAUGACUCUCAAAACCACAAAUGUCAACUGCGUGGUGUUGGUGGAUGCAAAGUCAGAAUCAUGAAAGUCAUUUGGAUUCAUCCUGUGGGGAAUAUCUGUCUGUGUAAAAUUACAUGAGAUAUUUUAGUUUGGACCAAAGAGGUAGAUCAAACUCCUCCAGUAGCGGCUGCUGCUCUUAUGAAAAACAGCAGUGGAUUUGCACAAAGACUACAUGGAUUAUUAACAUUAUGUACCUGGUUGCAUAUUUGGCUCUUUAUUUUAUUCACUGCAAUAAUGGAGAUACUGAACAGAACGGACCAGGGAACAGCUUGUGUUCUUGCUUUUGUCUGCCUCUGCAGCGGAUUGACUUUCAGUCAAUAAAAGAACCCAAUAGAAUCUUUAUCUGCUCCGAUUCAAAGACCUCAUGUCAAACCACUAAACACAUGAGUCUUUAAUGGCUGAGCUUGCAGACGGAAGCACAAUUGAAGACCGGGGAUCAAAGUUGGGAGGUUUUUAUUUGUAAUUAUUUGGUUUCUCUGCGACACAAUGGAGCGAGAUAUGACUGAGAUAAUGGUGUUUACAAAAUGUUACGAGAACCAACAAAGAUAAAUGGAGGGAGGGGGGGGGGGUAGAUGAUGUCUGUGAGUAAGCUUUUAAUAUCACACCAUGCUGACGUCGGUAAAACAUGGAAACAUGUCUCCUCUCAAGUUUGUCGGCCCUGGACCAGAUGGGACGUCAUAAAACCACCAGAUCAAAGCAGAUUCAAACAUCACAGUUUGUUUGGUCACUUUCUUCUGACAGAACAUUUCAAUAAA